rnacentral:rRNA from 1 species
UACGGGGGGGCGAGCGUUGUUCGGAAUUACUGGGCGUAAAGGGCGCGUAGGCGGGCUGUUAAGUCUCUCGUGAAAGCCCACGGCUCAACCGUGGAAUUGCGUGUGAUACUGUCAGUCUUGAGUCCGGAAGAGGAGGGUGGAAUUCCCAGUGUAGAGGUGAAAUUCGUAGAUAUUAGGAAGAACACCAGUGGCGAAGGCGGCUCACUGGACCGGUUCUGACGCGGAGGAGCGAAAGCGUGGGGAGCAAACAGG